UACGGAGGGUGCAAGCGUUAUUCGGAAUUAUUGGGCGUAAAGAGCGCGUAGGCGGCCAGUUAAGUCAGAUGUGAAAUCCCGGGGCUCAACCCCGGAAGUGCAUUUGAAACUAAUUGGCUUGAGUAUGGGAGAGGGAAGUGGAAUUCCUGGUGUAGAGGUGAAAUUCGUAGAUAUCAGGAGGAACACCGGUGGCGAAGGCGACUUCCUGGACCAAUACUGACGCUAAGGCGCGAAGGCGUGGGGAGCAAACAGG
rnacentral:rRNA from 1 species